rnacentral:rRNA from 1 species
CCUACGGGUGGCAGCAGUGAGGAAUAUUGGUCAAUGGACGAGAGUCUGAACCAGCCAAGUAGCGUGAAGGAUGACUGCCCUAUGGGUUUUAAACUUCUUUUAUAAAGGACUAACACGAGGCACGUGUGCCUUUUUUCAUGUACUUUAUGAAUAAGGAUCGGCUACCUCCGUGCCAGCAGCCGCGGUAAUACGGAGGUUCCGAGCGUUAUCCGGAUUUAUUGGGUUUAAAGGGAGCGUAGAUGGGUUGUUAAGUCAGUUGUGAAAGUUUGCGGCUCAACCGUAAAAUUGCAAUUGAUACUGGCAGUCUUGAGUACAGUUGAGGUAAGCGGAAUUCGUGGUGUAGCGGUGAAAUGCUUAGAUAUCACGAAGAACCCCGAUUGCGAAGGCAGCUUACUAAACUGUGACUGACAUUGAUGCUCGAAAGUGUGGGUAUCAAACAGGAUUAGAUACCCCUGUAGUC